UACGUAGGUGGCAAGCGUUGUCCGGAAUUAUUGGGCGUAAAGCGCGCGCAGGCGGUCCUUUAAGUCUGAUGUGAAAGCCCACGGCUCAACCGUGGAGGGUCAUUGGAAACUGGGGGACUUGAGUGCAGGAGAGAAGAGUGGAAUUCCACGUGUAGCGGUGAAAUGCGUAGAGAUGUGGAGGAACACCGGUGGCGAGGGCGGCAUCCUGGACCGACACUGACGCUGAGGAGCGAAAGCCAGGGGAGCAAACGGG
rnacentral:rRNA from 1 species